rnacentral:ncRNA from 1 species
UAAAAAGCGAAGAACGAAAAGAGUAACAAGCAAUUGACUCACCAGAGAGAAGCUGUCGUCGGCUGAGAGCAGUUUUUGAGGAAACCUUGUGAAGUGCAUUCGGGAGCUGAUUUUGUGAAUCAAGUAGCAAAAUACGGGUGACGAACGUUAUACGUUAUAAGUGAAAGAAUUAAUUCUUUUAAUAGAGUGGAACCGCGGAUAAACUUCGUCUCUUGU